rnacentral:rRNA from 1 species
GAGUGGCGGACGGGUGAGUAAUAGCUAUAGGGAACUAUAGCCUAUAUAGCGAGGGGGAUAACAGUUGGAAACGACUGCUAAUACCGCAUAAUGUCUACGGACCAAACGGGGCUUUUAGCUCCGGCGCAAAGAGAGGCCCAAGUGAGAUUAGCUAGUUGGUGAGGUAAAGGCUCACCAAGGCGACGAUCUCUAGCUGUUCUGAGAGGAAGAUCAGCCACACUGGGACUGAGACACGGCCCAGACUCCUACGGGAGGCAGCAGUGGGGAAUAUUGCACAAUGGGGGAAACCCUGAUGCAGCCAUGCCGCGUGUGUGAAGAAGGCCUUCGGGUUGUAAAGCACUUUCAGUUGUGAGGAAAGGUUGGUAGUUAAUACCUGCCAGCUGUGACGUUAACAACAGAAGAAGCACCGGCUAACUCCGUGCCAGCAGCCGCGGUAAUACGGAGGGUGCGAGCGUUAAUCGGAAUUACUGGGCGUAAAGCGCACGCAGGCGGUUUGUUAAGCUAGAUGUGAAAGCCCCGGGCUCAACCUGGGAUGGUCAUUUAGAACUGGCAGACUAGAGUCUUGGAGAGGGGAGUGGAAUUCCAGGUGUAGCGGUGAAAUGCGUAGAUAUCUGGAGGAACAUCAGUGGCGAAGGCGACUCCCUGGCCAAAGACUGACGCUCAUGUGCGAAAGUGUGGGU